GUGGGGAAUUUUGGACAAUGGGGGCAACCCUGAUCCAGCCAUGCCGCGUGCGGGAAGAAGGCCUUCGGGUUGUAAACCGCUUUUGUCAGGGAAGAAAUCCUUUGGGUUAAUACCUCGGAGGGAUGACGGUACCUGAAGAAUAAGCACCGGCUAACUACGUGCCAGCAGCCGCGGUAAUACGUAGGGUGCGAGCGUUAAUCGGAAUUACUGGGCGUAAAGCGUGCGCAGGCGGUGCUGUAAGACAGGCGUGAAAUCCCCGGGCUCAACCUGGGGAUUGAGCUUGUGACUGCAGUGCUGGAGUACGGCAGAGGGGGAUGGAAUUCCGCGUGUAGCAGUGAAAUGCGUAGAUAUGCGGAGGAACACCGAUGGCGAAGGCAGUCCCCUGGGCCUGUACUGACGCUCAUGCACGAAAGCGUGGGGAGCAAACAGGAUUAGAAACCCCAGUAGUCC
rnacentral:rRNA from 1 species